AAUCAACGCUGGCGGCAUGCCUAACACAUGCAAGUCGAGCGAGAAAGUGUAGCAAUACAUGAGUACAGCGGCGCACGGGUGAGUAACACGUGGAUAACCUGCCUCAAAGUGGGGAAUAACACCGGGAAACCGGUGCUAAUACCGCAUAUUCUGACUGAGUCUGCGGAUUUGGUCAGGAAAGGAGCAAUUCGCUAUGAGAGGGGUCCGCGGCUGAUUAGCUAGUUGGGGAGGUAAUGGCUCACCAAGGCCACGAUCAGUAGCCGGUCUGAGAGGACGGUCGGCCACACUGGAACUGAGACACGGUCCAGACUCCUACGGGAGGCAGCAGUGGGGAAUUUUUCGCAAUGGGGGCAACCCUGACGAAGCAAUGCCGCGUGGAUGAUGAAGUCUCUUGGGACGUAAAAUCCUUUCGACAGGGACGAAACCGCAAGGUUGACGGUACCUGUAGAAGAAGCCCCGGCUAACUCCGUGCCAGCCGCCGCGGUAA
rnacentral:rRNA from 1 species